rnacentral:lncRNA from 1 species
UAAUCUUCUUCGUUUCUGAUCAAAAAAAAAAAAACAAGGACAGACGUUGAUCAAUAGAUGCUAUCUACAUAAAAUAGAAGAAGAAUCAAUUGAUCACAUAAUUCUUCACUGUGUCAAAACAUGGUAGUUGCUCUUCUCUAUUUGGCAUUCUUGGUGUUGUCUACCAUAAUCAAAGAAACUCUUUGAAGGUGGCACACAUCCUUUGUGGAGAGAAGACAAAAGAAGGUUUGGAGAGCUACUCCUAUUUGCAUUUUUUAAACGAUUUGGCAAGAGAAGACUCGUAAGUCAUUUGAGAACGAGGAGCAGUCUAACCAUAUUUUAAAGAGUUUUUCCUUAGUAAUCUUUUCUUAUGGGUAAAGGUGUACAUAUAUGAGGCUCAAUGCCCUUAAUUGAUUUUGUUGAUUAGUUGGAUUCUCAUUAAGGGAGGAAGUUGUUUUUUGUGUUCUCUUUUUGGCUGAACCUUGGAGUUAUACCUUUGGCACGCAUUGUAUAGGUCUUAUAUGCCUUGGCGCUUAAGGGUUUUUUUUUUUUAAAUCUUAUGGCUACCUAUCAAAAAUAGAACUUUUGUUGUGAACUGUAGAACCAGUUUUAGGGCAUACUGUCAUGGACCGGGAUCUUCCCUAAAAUCCUUGUAGCACUUAGACCAACUUCAAACACUCCAAGUUCCCAAGUCAGUCUUAACCAAGCAGCCUUAGACAAUAUCUAAGAAGUAUAAGAAAAACAAAGAGCCAAAGGGAGCGUUUGAAAGAAAGCAAGUGCUAUCAUUUUUUUUUUUAUCAAUAAGUAUAUAAUUGUAUUACAAAGAGGCACUAAAAUAGCGACCCACAGAAUUACAGUAUAAAGGAACUUACCCCCUUACAACAAGGCCCAAACAAUAAGGAAAAAACAAAAAAUCUUCUCCCUUAAUGCAUACACACCCACUCUAUAAAAUCUAUUAAGGUCGAAGGACCAUCUUUUAUCCACAAAUUGGUUUCCAACCACAGUAAAUACACAAAAGAAACUUUCAGCUUUUGAAUGGACAGCCCACAAUCCUCAAAAGCAAUUGAAUUUCUAGCCUUCCAUAUAACCCAAAACAAACAUAACGGUCCCAAUUGCCACGCCAUCUUCCUCUUCUUUCCCACAAAAGAGCCCCUCCAUCCUAAAAGGGUUUCCUUCACCAAAAGAGGAAAAACCCAAGAAACUCCAGAAAAAGAAAGGAGCAACAUCCACACUUCCCUUGUUUUUUCACAAUGAAUGAGAAGGUGAUCAAUUGACUCCUCACACGUAUGGCAUAAAAAACAUCUAUUUGCCAUCACCCAACCUCUCUUUUGCAAACAAUCCAAGGUUAGAACUCUCCCCCAAGAAGCCUCCCACGCAAGUGUUAUCAUACUAACUAAAAAAGCUAGUUCUCAAUCCUGAGAUCUUAAGAUCUACCUUGAACAAGUGAAGGGCUCCUCUAUUUAUAGGUACAUGAGGACUCCAAAUUUGUACGUACCUAAUGUGGGAUUGGCUAGUCCUAUUAUUUUAAUAUUCUCCUAGAAUAUAGAGCUUAGGUUUUAUAACUAUUUCAAAACCUUUCACAGUAUUUCAAAGGAACCCAAACUACUUGCUACUAAUCCUAAUUAUUCUAAAUGAACAUUCUCAAACAGUUUAGAAUGCUUUGGUGACUAACACUUUUGCAUAUUUAUGCAAAAUUGAGCCAAACCGUGAUGAUAGCUUCAAAUUUCUUUUGCAUAAUAUUUCCUAUCAAAAUAAUUUUUAUAUUUUUCUCAUCUUACCCUUUCAAAUAUUAGACUUCCAAAGAUAUCCCAAGAUAUUCUGGUAUUAUCCACUUAAGCAACAUGAAUGAUUACUACUCAAAAAUGCAUAUAACUAGUAUUAAUGGAUGUAUAAUUCACAUUUUUUUCAUCGUAAUUAUACUUAAAAUACUCAAUUAACAUAUUGUUGCUCUUGCAAUGAUUACUAACCAUCUUUUGUGAGUUGAGUGAUUUCAAGGUGUAAUUUGAUGAUAAAUUAUGUAAGAGGGGAGAUGAAUCCAUAUGAAGAAGGCACAAAGUGAUGAUGAUUCAAAUAUGUGCUGCAAAUGGGUGAUAUCAACAUGUUGUAAUUGAAGGAUCUCUAAGAAUAAACAAAGUUGAUCUUAUGAAAGAGGAUGUCCAAAUGACUUUGAUUCAUGCAUCCACACAUGUGAAUACAAAAAGGAUCAGUUCAAAUAGAAGGAAAAAUGAGGCCAGUUAUGCCCUAUAUGCCAGCUCAAUCAACUAAUUUUGGUGUGAGGGUGAUGUAGUGGUUUGAGAUGAGAGAGGGAAAGUGUUAGGUUGCAAUAGAGUCGAAGACGUUUGAAGUUUCGAUAGAGGAAGUCCGAGGGAAGCUAAAAGGUACCAUUGUGGAGAGGAGUAGAGGUCUCUCCUCUUGGAUCCGUUUUCGAGAUUUAAGUUUGAGAAAACUGUUGGAAGGUUUUGAAGAAUGUUGCAGGAAGGAGAAGGAAGGAAGAAUGGUAAAAGUUUGGGAGGAAGAGGGAAGAAAGUUCAAGUUGGAGAGGCGUGUAAAUGGGGCAGGGAGAUAUGUCUUAUGUUCUAUUGUUGAUGUAGAGACUAAGAGAUUUUGCUUAGUUUUCCCUAAAGGAAAGGGUUUGCUAGGAAGAUGGGUCAUUCUCGCUGAGAAACUAUGGGCUUUGGGAGUAGUUGCUCAAGAGGAAGCAAAGACUGAAGCGGCACUCAGAGUUGAUNNNNNNNNNNNNNNNNNNNNNNNNNNNNNNNNNNNNNNNNNNNNNNNNNNNNNNNNNNNNNNNNNNNNNNNNNNNNNNNNNNNNNNNNNNNNNNNNNNNNAAAGACAAAAGUGGUGACAUUGAAAGGCAAGGAUGAGAAGUGCAUUGGAAAAAAAGUGGAGGGUGAGAAAAAGACCUUCGUGGAUGUUGCUAAGGAACCGGUUGGAAGGCUAGGAGAUGCGUCAUGGCUUCAGGUUGGAAGGAGAGGGUUGAGGGGUAGGGAGGAAGGGUUGGAUCAAUGCUUAGUUGGAAUGUGGGGUGCCGGGUCGGUGGUAGAGACGAAAAUGGCUUCGUUCAGGAAAUGGGGGGAGCACAAUUGGAAUCUUAAAAAAGGUGUGCAAGUUUUGAAGCUGGGAGGACCUUUCUUUUUGCUGGAGUUUGAAGAUGAAAAGGAGGCAGAGAGUGUUAAAAAGGGGGACGCGCUGCUAUAAGGAUAAAUUGCUGCACUUAGAGAGCUGGAGUGAGGAGGCGAGGUGCUUGCAGUUAGGAAGCCAAGCAAAAAAAGUUUGGGUGAGGGUGGUGGGGCUCCCACUUCACUAUUGGAGUGGAGAGAUGUUUAAAAGAAUUGGUGAAUGUUGUGGAGGUUUUGUUGAGGUGGAUGAAGAAACAAAAAUAAAAUUCAGCUUCAAUGGACCAGAAUUUUGGUGAACAGGGGGAAAUUUUUUCCAAGGACGUUGCAUUUAGUGGUGAAUUCUUAUUGUCAUGCAGUCCAGUUGUGGUGGGAGGUGCUGCCAUGGAUUUCUAUAGUGGUGCCGAUGAAGAACUUGAAAGGGAGAGAGGGGGAAAAGGUUAGGGAAGAGUGGGAUGUGGGCUCACACGUGGGGAGCAGCGGUGGUAUGGGGAAGGAGAGUUGGCAUGCAUGAAAGGUUAAUGGGGCAGGUUUAGUCAGAAAUAAUAAGGGAGAAGAAAAGGGUGAUGGAGACGGGACGGUAGGUUCAGCUGAUGGUUUUUCAGGAUUUGGGAAGGGGGCUAGAGAAAAGGGGAGUGGAAGGGUGGGCUUAAGUGAGAAAGAGGGGUCUGCUAUGUUUGUUAGUUGCAAGCCCGUUUGUGAGGUUGUUCAAGCCCAAAGGAAUUCAGGCCUGGAAUGUGAAGGCCCUACAAUCUUUUUUAGCUCUAGAAUGGGUUAGGCUUUAAAAGAAAGUGAGACGAGCAGACCCAAGACGUGUUGGGAGGAGGGGCAACCCAGCAGAGGUGUGGAGCAGGCUUCUUGUGACGGCCCUUCAAACCUUCUAAGGGAUGGACUGGGCUGUUUGGAAAGUGGGGCAGCCCAGUGUUGGAGCGAUUUGGGCUUCGAACCCACAUAAGGCCUUUUUGCAUGAGCCUUUAAAAGAGGCUAGGACUCCGUUUUGUCGACUGCGAUCUAAGGGGUGGUUUGCAAAAGAAUUUCUGGCCAACGGGAUGAUUUCUGAAAUGGAGAAAGGGGCAUCAGGAAGGUUUUCUCUAGCGGACACAUGCCUUUUGGAGGAAGCUUCCAGGUACUCCUUCUUUGAGCCUUCUUCUGUUUGCGUUUGAAGGGGACGGGACUCUUCUUCAUCUCCUUUCUCUGGGGUGGAGGGGGCUUUGAUUGAGGUAGAGGAGAGUCGUGAUGCUGAUGUCUUUUUGAAGGAAAAUGAAAGGGAGUUGUCUGUAAGUCCUCUGAGUGUGUGUUUGGUGGAAGAAAGGCUUGUUGAGAAGGUUGAUGGCGAGUCUUACCCGUUAAAAGAGGGGAGGGAUGAAAGGGUUGAGAAAGAAGGAGGGGAUGUGGAGUCAUGGAGGUACAGUUGUUUGGCAAAUUUUUUUCAUUGUUUGGGAAUGCCUAUUGAGGGAUUUGAAAGUGAGAUUUUGAAACUUCUUAAUAGAAUAAGGGAAAGAAGAGACCGAUUUGAGAGGGUAAGCAGAAAAAAGAGGAAAGGACAGAGAUCCUCGAGAUUUGACCGAGAACUAAAGAAACUUAAACGGUUGGUAAAUUACGGUGGGUCAGGAGGGGAUCAAGGUCAUCAGGAGUGUGUUAGAUGAGGCUUCGAAUCCUUUCGUGGAAUGUAAGGAAGAUAAAUGAUAGAGACAAGAGAAAAUUGAUAAGGAUGUGAUUAAAACUCAGAAGGCGGAUUUAGUGUGUCUCCAAGAAACAAAAACUCAGGAGAUGAGUAGUGGGAUUGUGAGAAGUCUCCAGGUAGGAAGAUGUUUGGAGUGGGGUGCUUUGAAUUCAAGGGGUGCAGUGGGGGGGGAGGGUGGUGUUUUGGGAUAAUAGGGUGCUGCAAAUGGUGGAGAUGGAGGUGGGUAAAUAUUUAGUCUCUUGUCGCUUUAAGAAUUGUGAAAAUGGUUUUUGCUGGAUUUUUUCAGUAGUGUAUGGGGCCACUAUGAAGGUGGAGAGAGAAGAUUUUUUGAGUGAGCUGGGGGCCUUUAGAGGUUUGUGGAAUGAGUCGUGGUCUGUAGCAGGAGACUUUAACAUGAUAAGAUUCCCAUAUGAGCAUAGUAGAGGAGGUUGUCUGUCCCCAACAAUGAGGAGAUUCUCAGAGAUGGUUGAAGAUUUAGAACUAAAGGACUUGCCUCUUCAAGGGGGGUUGUUCACGUGGAGUGGAGGUUUUAAUAAUCGGUUAAAGUCAAGAAUUGAUCGGUUCCUCAUUUUUGAAGAUUAGGAAGUUCAUUUCCAGGGGGCCAUUCAAGUUGUUCUGGCUAGGCCGAUUUCUGAUCACUCUCCGAUUCUUCUUGAUGGGGGAGAGAUGAGGAGAGGGCCCACGCUUUUUAGAUUUGAGAAUAUGUGGCUGAAGGAGGAGGGCUUUAAAGAGGUGUUGAGAAAGUGGUGGAAGGGGACUCAAGUUAGUGGGUCAGUCAGCCUCAUUUUGACUGAAAAAUUGAAGGCAUUAAAACAUAUUUUGAGAAGUUGGAAUAAAGAGGUUUUUGGUCAAAUUGAUUCUAAGAAGCAGAGUGCUUAGAAUUUAGUGGAUUCUUGGGACAAAGAAGAGAGUGUUCGCUCUCUGUCUUUGGAAGAAGAAGAAACUAGGAAGGAAGCAAGAGAGAUGUAUAAAAAGUGGGUUCUUUUAGAAGAAGUGUCGUGGAGGCAGAAGUCUAGAGAAAUUUGGCUGAAGGAGGGGGAUAGAAACACAAGGUUUUAUCAUCAAAUGGCUAAUGCUCAUAGAAGAAGGAAUCAGUUGACCAGAGUAAAAGUGAAUGGGAGGUGGUUCACCGAGGAAAGUGAAAUCAAAGAGGAAGUGAACAGAGCUUUCUAAGGUCUGUUGGCAGAUCUCGGUGGUUGGAAGCCCAAUAUAGAUGGUUUGAUUUUUGAGAGGCUGGAAGAGCUGGAUGUGGAGGGAUUGGAGAAGCCUUUCUCGGAGGAGGAGUUUUUGGUGCGCUAUCAGGUUUUUGAAAAGAGAAAGCACCAAGCCCUGACGGUUUCUCAAUGGCAUUCUGGCAGUUUUCUUGGGAUUUUGUAAAGGAGGAGGUAAUGAACUUCUUCAGACAGUUCCAUGAAACUGGGAGUUUUGUUAAAAGUUUGAAUGCAACCUUUCUAGUGUUGAUCCCUAGGAAAGGGGGGGUUGAGGACUUGAAGGAUUUUAGGCCAAUUAGCUUGGUGGGAGGGUUGUACAAGUGGUUAGCUAAGGUGUUGGCUAACAGAAUGAAGGGAGUGUUAGCUAAGGUGAUCUCAACGUCUCAAAAUGUUUUUGUGGAGGGGCCGCAGAUUAUGGAUGUCGUGUUGAUUGCUAAUGAAGCAAUAGACUCCAUUUUGAAAAGCAAUAGAGGGGCAAUUCUUUGCAAAUUCGAUAUUAAGAAAGCCUAUGAUCACAUAGACUGGUCAUUUCUUUUAACGGUGUUGGAGAAGAUGGGGUUUGGGGAAAGGUGGCGUAGAUGGAUAAAGUGGUGUUUAUCCACUGCUAGGUUUUCAGUUAUGGUGAAUGGAAGCCCUACUGGAUUUUUUCAGAGCUCAAGGAGUUUAAGGCAAGGAGACCCCCUUUCGCCUUACUUAUUCAUAGUUGUGAUGGAGGUUUUUAGUUAUAUGCUGAAGAGAGCAGUUUCUGGAGGUUUUUUGUCGCCGUGUUCGAUUCAGGGAAGAAGGGGUGAAGGGGUCUAGGUCUCUCAUUUGUUGUUUGCUGAUGAUAUGUUGAUUUUUUAUGAGGCAAAAGAGGAGCAUUUGACGUAUUUGUGCUGGUUGUUAAUGUGAUUUGAGGCAAUUUCAGGUUUAAGAGCGAAUCUGGAAAAAAAGUGAACUAAUUCCGAUUGGUAAAGUUGAGAAUGUGGAAAAGUUGGUUGAUGAGUUCGGUUAUAAGGUGGGAAAAUUACCCUCCACCGACUUAGGAAUGUCGUUGGGUGCUCCUUUUAAAUAUGCUGCCGCUUGAGAUGGAAUAAAAGAAAGAUUCCAAAAGAGAUUGGCUAUGUGGAAACGUCAGUACAUCUCAAAAGGGGGGAGGAUUACCUUAAUUCGAAGUACUUUGUCCAAUUUGCCGAUUUAUUUUAUGUCUAUUUUCCAGCUGCCUAGGGUGGUUAGAAUGAGAUUGGAGCAUAUUCAAAGGUAUUUUUUUGUGGGGUGGUGGGGCUUUUGAGCAAAAACAGCACUUAGUAAGGUGGCCGAUUGUGUGUGUAGAUAAAAGAAAAGGAGGGUUGGGGGUUAAGAGCCUUGGGACUUUCAAUAGGGCUCUCCUUGGCAAAUGGGUUUGGCAUUUUGCAAAUGAAAGAAAGGCCCUUUGGAACCAAGUGAUUAGAAGGAAAUACGGGGAGGAAAGAGGAGAGUGGAGCUCUUAUGAGGCUAGCUCCGCCUAUGGAGUUGGGUUGUAGAAAGCAAUAAGUAAGAUGGGACAUCUAGUAACCCCUUCUUUUGGCUUUGUGGUGGGUGAUGGUAAGAAGGUGAAGUUUUGGAAAGACAAGUGGUGUGGAACCACCCCUUUGUGUGAGGAUUUCCCUUCAUUAUUUGCUCUAGCAACUUCCAAAGAGGCUUGGGUAAAUGAAGUUCGGACAGCCGCGGGGGAAAGGGGGGGAAGUUGGAGUCCUCGUUUCAAUAGACCUUUCAAUGAUUGGGAGUUGGAAGAAGUGGAAAGGUUGGUUUGUUGCUUGGAUGGGAAGAAGGUUAGUGUGGAUGAGGAGGAUAGGGUGAGGUGGAUGGAUUCAAAGGAUGGGGUUUUUUCGGUAAAAUCUUUGUAUAGGGCUUUGCAGCCGGUUUCUCUUGCUUCUUUCCUUUCGAAGAUUAUUUGAAACUCUUGUGUACAGCCCAAAUUAAGCUUCUUUGCUUGGGAGGCUUCGUGGGGAAGAGUUCUAACCUUAGACCAUUUGCAAAAGAGGCGUUGGGUUUUGGCUAAUAGAUGAUUUAUGUGCCAAACGUGUGAGGAGUCGAUUGGUCACCUCCUCCUUCAUUGUGAAAAAACAAGGGAAGUGUGAAUGUUGCUCCUUUCUUUUUUUAGAGUAUCUUGGGUAUUUCCUUUUUCAGUAAAGGAAGCCCUUUUAGGGUGAAGGGGCUCUUUUGUGGGUAAGAAGAGGAAGGUGGCAUGGCAAGUCGGACGGACCGUUAUGCUUGUUUUGGGUCAUUUGGAAGGCAAGGAAUAGAAUUGCUUUUGAGGAUAGCUUGUUGUCCAUCCAAAGGCUGAAAGCUUCUUUUGUGUAUUUACUUUGGUAGGAAACCAAAUUGUGGAUAAAAUAUGGUCCUUCGACCUUCAUAGAUUUUGUAGAUUGGGUGUGCUCACGAUGAGGGAGAAGGUUUUUUGUUUUUUCCUUGUUGUUUGGGUCCUUUUGUAACAAGGUGAGUAUCUCUAUACUGUAAUUCUAUGGGUCGCUAUUUUAGCGCCUCUUUGCAAUACAAUUUUUUGCUUAUUGAUAAAAUAAAAAAAUGUAUCCACGCAUGUGAAUUAGUUUGGAGGUCCACUUUGAGUUGUUUGAUGUAAAUCGAGGAAGCUAACAUGAUCAUGGAAGGAAGAAGUGUGAAAAAUUUUUUUUGAUCAGAAACGAAGAAGAUUAUAUUAAUAAAAGAACAAAUACAGAAGAGAAAAAAGAGACAAAAGAAAGAGAAAAAAAAAACCAAGGGAAGGAUGAGAGGUCCUUCCUACACAAUAACCAAGGAAAACACCCAACAAUAGUAAUCUAAAAACAAGAGAAAACCCAACAAUCUUCAAACUCUUUAAACGCAAACCCCAAUCCAAUUGAUUUGUAGGAUGCUUAGAGGAACUCCUCUAAAAGCUUCAGUACAAGAAGCCCAUAGAGAAGAGUAAAACCAAAUCAAAUCCCACACCACCUCUUCCGUUCUCCCUUUAUCCUCAAAGAUUCUAUUAUUCCUUUCUUGCCACACUAUCCAAAUCAAAGUAAGGCAAGCAAUUUGCCAAAGAAUCUUGCCUCUUACUGAGUUCCCCAAGCCUCUAAAGGAAAUAACCAACAUAUCCUCAAUGCUCCUUGGAGGGACCCAAAUCACACCUACUAGAUUGAACAACCUGUGCCAAAGUCCAAUGGUGACGGGACA